UAUGUGACAAAUUAACUUAUCAUCAACUAAUUGACAGGUAACAUUGUAAAAGUUAAUCAACAACUUUUUUUUUUAACUAAUUGCUAAGUUAUUAAGAUUUAAGUGAUGAUAAUUAAUCAAGAAAGAUUAAUGUUGAUUUGAUUAAUAAUCAUGAUUAACAAAUGAAACAAUUAAAAUUUUUCAAGUUUACUUCGUUAUUAUUAUUAAGUUUUCCCUCCUGAAAACAUUGAGCCAACCAAAAAGUGAUAUCAAGAGAUGAGGAUCAAGAUGAUGAAGAAGAUGAUAAGAAAGAGAAAGUAUUUAAGUCUUUCUUUUUCAAUGAUGAUUAAGGUAUUUAGGUCAAAUGUCAAGUAUAAUCUGUCCUUUGGAAACCUUAAUGUUACCUGAUUUUUGACAUUUCGUCAUCAUAAACAUUAUAAGCAUCCUCAUCCUCAUCCUCAUCAAUUAACAGUUACUUUUGAUUCAUAUUUUUUUCAUUAUGGAUUCAGAGUCAACGGAUGAUGAUGUUGAUGUUGAUGUUGAUGAUGAUGAUGAUGAUGAUGAGGAUACAGAAAAUAAUGAAUUGUUUGAUAAACAAAAGGAAGACAAGAAAUGACUUUUUUUUAUUACAUGAAAAUAAACAAUAAGCUUGAUUGUUAUUGUUUGUUGUUAAUGAUGAUGAUUAACAUGGUAACCUAACCAAUGUUUUCAUCAUGAUAAUGAUGAUUAUGAUGAUAGAUACAUUAAAACAAAAACGAGUUAGUUGAACAGAAAAAAAAAAUUAGUAAAUACGAUAACAAUUAGUGAUGAAAAUGAAUGAAAUUGAAAUAAUAAUGAAUUUGUAAGCUCAUUGAAAAAAAAAGAGAAACAAAAAAAAAAGUUGAAAGCUGAAAAUUUGAAUGAAAAGUUGGUAAAUUGUUACCCAACAAAUUGCCAAACUUUGACUUGUAUUACUUUUGAUUGUUAAUUAUUGUUGCUUACUUAUCACUAACUGCUACUGUUAAUCAUGAUUGUUGUUGUUAAAAGUGUUAUUGGUUAAAUUGUUACCAUUUAAACGUAUACAACAAUCAUCGACCUAAAAAAUUAACCAAUUGAAGCGUUGAUGGUUACAUUGACACGCACCAAUCACGCCUUGUAACAAAUAUCUUGUGUAUCUGUUGAUUAUCAUCAUCAUCAUCAUCAUCAUCAUCAUCAUCACAAUCUUCAUCUCCAUCUUCAUGAGUAACUAAAUUUAUAUCAUCGUCAUUAUUGGUAUCAGAAUUUUAAAACGAAACUAAUAUUUAAAAGUUAACAUUCUGUUUCUCAACUUUGCUCCAAAUUUCAACAAUCAAGUUAAUCCCAUAGAUGAUAAUUAAGCUGAUUAGCAUGAAACAAUUUAGAAAAUUUGUCUGUUCAUCAUCAGUUAAUCACUUGAAAUGCACAAAUCAAUUGAAAGGGUUCGAAACAAUUACCAAAAAUAAAAAAGUUUCCAACAUCUUCAAUGUAACUUAACCGUUUCUUGUUAUUUCUUAACUGUUGUUGCCUUUAAUUUGAACUUACAGUUAUUACCUGAAUAUUAUUAUAAUAGUUAAUUACCUUUUUUACCUGGAAGAUAAAUUCUUAUCAUCAUUAUAACAGGAAAUUCAAUAUUAUCAUAAAAAUCAUUUCUUUUUCUAUUCGAUUUCUUUUUCUUUCUUUUUUUUUGAAGGUCGAAUAUUAUUUUUUUUUCUUCUCAUAAUUAACCAAUAUUAGCCGUAGGGUUUUAUUGUGGUUUUGUAAUAGUAAAUGUUAUUAUUAAUGAUGAUGAUGAUAAUAUUAAAUAUCGUGAGAUAGGGAGGGAGGGAGACGGAAAAAACAUGGUUUCUGAUUUAGGGAGAGGUGGAUGAUGAUGAUGAUGGAGAUUAGAGGGGAUGAGAAGGUGAAAUUUUGUUCUUUUUUCAAACUAACAAUGAAAAUGAAUAGUUUGAGUUUCCUCUGUCUUGUUGAUCCAGAAAAAGAAAGAGAAGACGAUGGAAGAAGAUAAAUUUCUCUCUCUCUCUCUCUCUGUCUCUCUUACACAGAUUUAUAUAUGUAUUUAUAUAUACAUUUAGAGUCUAUGGUUGUAAGGAUGAGGAUGAGGAUGGAGAGAUAUGAUGAGAAGAGGGAUGAAGGAGGGAAAAAGUGAAAAGUCUGACAGGAAUCUGGUUGCCAAGAAAAUUUCAAAUUCUAUGUUGAUUUUUAAGCACGACUAGACUCUUAUCAUCAUCUUCUUCUUCAUCUUCAUCCUCAUCAUCAUCAGAAUGUUUAGUCUUCCCAUCCAUACUCUUCUUCUCUUCUUCAUCUUCAUCAUUCUCAUCUUUGAAAUGCUCUAUUUCUUUAUGUAUAUAUACAAGAUGACUUCUUGUCUUUUUUGAUACAAAUUUCAUAUGGGACAUCAUCUUCAUUCAUUAUCUUCCUCAUCAUCUAUAUGUAGUGUGAUGAUUGUGACUCUUUCUUAUCAUCAUCAUCAUCAUUUCCCACUCUAAGUUGAUCAUCUCUCUCUCUCCUCAUCUACUUAUCCUUGUCACUAAUUUUUUUUUGUCAAUUUAUGUUUUCUGGUCUGUAAUCUGUAACCAAGAAAACAAGAUUAUCAAUUUAUCUGUUAGUUAAUUUUUGAUUUACUUGAUUGGAUUAACAACAAUUUAGGGCGAAACAAUUUCAUUUACACCAAACAAUUGGGAUUAAUCCAAGUUACCGAUCAUGAUUAGCAUAGUUAAUUAUUCUCGAUGAUUAAAUACUAAAUGCGAAAUUGGUAAAAGGAUUCGUUUCUAAUUUCGUUUUAUUUUUCCUUCUUCUAUUGAUUAUCCUUGUAUUAUUUUUUUUUCUUAAUUUCUAUUCUUAUCCUCCAACAAUUAACUCUCACUAAUUCCUGUCUGUAGAUUGUUUCAGUUAAUAGUAAAUGUUAUUCUCUUUUUUUUUCUUCAUCGCUCUUUAAUUGUUGAACAAUCAUUUCGACAACAAUUAAACAGGGAAAAUACCAUAAGGUCAAUGAUAAUAAUAGAUUGAUAGUCUUGAGAUUAUCCUGACAAUUAGGAGAUAGAAUAAUAAAAUUGGAUUCUGUUAUUCCCUCGAUUCUGGUGAAUGAUUAAGUCCUUGAAUCUAAUUGAAAACGAGGUUAUUCAUGAUCAGGAUGAUAAAGGAUUGAGAAUUCAUCUUCCAUGGUCAUCAAUCCAAUUUCUAUCAUCAUCAUCUCAUUUUACUCUUUCUCUUCCUUGUUUUUUUUGCAUCUUCACUUUCUGACCUCGAGUAUAUUUUUCCCCUUCUCAUCAUCGUCAUCGUUUUGAUUGAUAAAUUUUAAUGUGACAAUUUAAUUGAUCAAUUAUGUUUACCAAUCACAACAAUUAAAAAGCAUCGUGUAAAUUGUGACCAUUAAAACCAUCCUGGUUUCCUUGUUGCUGUUGAUUAAGAUCGUGGAUUAAGAUUAAGAUGAUCUACUUAAUGGUCAAGAUAUAGAUUUUGGAAAAUGGAAACAAACCCUUGACCCUUGAGGGCAUUUUCAUCUCUCUUUCUCUUGUUAUUGUCAAAUCACCUUUAACCUUUUUAUUUUGAUCAUUAUCAACUUAAUCUACUGAUUAAAAGUUUUCAAGUGAUUAUAAGAUUAAGUUAAUAAAUCUUACAGGAAGUAGAUCAACAAGAUUAAUUAAAUACGAUAAAUUCAAUUGUAAUUGAUAACAAUGAUUGUCAAGUGUUGUCCAUUCAGUUUCAAGUUUAUUUGUCCUCAUUAACUUAAUCAUCACAAGACAAUAAUAUUUAAUCAACUGACCAAAUGGACUAUCAAUCAAAGUUGAUUAGUUAGAUUUUCUUAUUAAAAGUAAUUAGUGUUUUUUAUUUGUAUGACAAAAAAAAACAAGACAAUCAAAAUUAAAAGUUAACAAAAAUUUUCACCAACAAAUCAUUUCAUUCAUUUUCACAGUUAGGUGCAAAUAGAAUCACAAUUAAUGAUAAUUAUCAUGGUUGAUUGUUAAUCAACAUGAUUAGUGUAUUAUUUUGAUUAUCUUCAUGAUGAAUUGUAGGAAAAUCGAAAGAAAAAUUUUCGAAAAAAAAAGUUUGGACCUUGAGAAAAGGCCUUUAGUUUACUACGCAGCGGAUUCUUUUUCUCUUCCUCUUCAAGUAGGUUAUAUACCUGGAAGAUAAUUAUGAUGAUAAGGAUGAGGUGGUGGAGGAAGAUGAGGAUGAAAAGAAAAAGAGAAAAAAAAAUUGCAAAGGUAGGAAUUAAAAGGAAUAUGGUAACGCGUGUUUAUCGCGUGUUGACCAAACAUAAACAGUACCAACCUUUAUUUCCCUUGAUGUUCAAUCUGCUCGAUGAUGAAAAGAUGAUGAAAGAUGAUAAAUAUGAUGAUAAUAAUGGAUCGUAGUUAAUGGUGAGCAGAUGUUAACAACCUGAGUCUUGCUUACCUGGUGAGUGGUUUUCGUUGAAGAUGCAAAGAUGAAAGGUUAAAGUUGCACAAAAAUCUGCGCGUGCCAAUCAUUGGUCAAGAGUAAGAAAAGGUAAGAGGUCAGUGAGCUUUUUUCUUGACGCUUUUACCUGUGUAUCAAUGUAUCAUUGUGUCUGUUGUUGUUGUUGUUGUGUGUGUGUGUCAUUUUCUGACCAACUGUUACUAAUACACCAACGAAGGUAAAAAUGUCCGCUGGGGGUUGGUGAUCGUUCAAAUGACCUCGGACAUCAAGGGACAAAGUUACAUUGAACUUUCCAAGUCAAUGGUGGUCAACAAAUAACAACAACAACAACAUCAACAAUCAUAAUAAUAACAAUGUUUGACCGGUGGACUAGUAAGUUGACCUUUUGCUUUGAGCUGGUUCGUUGAUGACCAUAUAAUAUAUUGGUCAUUAUAAAUGACCACCAGCAACUGAUAGUAUUUGAGUCUCUGUGCCGUUUUUGUUUAUUCAUCAUUUUUAAUAGGCAACAAUUUACUUAACUUUUGGUAAUUAACUUAAUUUUUAUCAGCAUUUCUCCUCCACUUAUUGAGUUACCUUUCAGCUUUGGCGGAGGAGGACGAAGAGGGUAAAGGACAGGUGAUCUCUCUGUCUGUCUCUCUGUCUCUCUAGUCGAGGUUAUUGAGUCGAAAGGAAGUUGAUCAAGAGAUGAGGAUGGAGAUGAUGAUGAUGAUAAACGCUCCCUAAAAACAGUUUCCUUUUCAAAAGAGAGAACCAAUCUUACCUUAUUUAGGUCCUUGUGUGUGAGGAAAACAGAAGAAAAGGAAAUGGUAAAGAUGAAGAUGAAAGAAGAGAAUAAGAGACAAGUCCAAUGUGUUGUUGUUCGCUUGAGGUCAAAGCCCGUUUAGCAUUUUUAGCGUCCGAAAAAAUGUAUAACUUUAAUUCCCGUUGCAAGGCAGCUGCCGAUGGAUGUUGAUAGUUAAUUGUUGGUCUGAUUGUUGGAGAGAAAGUAAAUCAAUAUCCAUUGUUUGUUUCGAAAAUUUACUUUUUCCCGCCUCUUUUUUCAUGGAUUCUUCAUUUUGACCAGACGAUGAAAUUGAUUUCUCUUCAUAAAUGAUUAUCUAUUAUCAUCUUGAUUCUCUAUCUUUCUCUCUUUCUCUCUUCAAGGUUCAAUAAGAUUUCUAUUUGGGUACAAGGAAAAGCUCAACGAAGGAACCAUGAGUCUGAAGGAGAGAGAGAGAAAAACCCGCCUUCCCUUUUUUAGCUCUUUCUUUUUCUCUCUUUCUUCAUCUUCAUCUUCAUCUUUCUCUCUCUUUUCUUCAAGUUCUACACUCUUUUUUUGAACAAGUUGAAUGACCUUACGAAGGCUCAUGUCGAAGUAGAAAAAGAGAAAAGAACAAGAUGAUAAUUUUCGACUAACAGCUUCUCUUUCAUUUCUCUUUCUUUUUCCACUUUAUCAACCUCUUCCAAGGUUAUUCUGUCUCCUGGAACAUUUUCCUCUCUCUCUCUCUCUCUCUCUACCAUCAUCAUGCUCCUUUUUCCUCCUCCUUCUUCAUCUUCUACUGAUUAUAUUUCCAUAGGCUUUCCCUUUCUCUCUCUCUCUUUUAUUCUUUCAAUAUUUUCUCUCUACUCAAAGCUCACUCCUUCUCAGAGGAACUGAUCGAUAAACUCUCUCUCUCUCUCUCAUAAUGAUGCAGUCUGAUCAUCAUCAUCAUCGCUGUAAGAGAGAAAGAAAGAGAAAAGUCUUUUCUAUUAUUUUCUCUUUCUCUAAAUUUUCCCUCUUCUUUUUGGAAAAUAUCUUUUUUUUCUUCUAUUCUCUUUUGCUUUUGCGUGUUCUAUUCUGUCUGGAGGUUUCUCAUCGAUCGUCUGUUUCCCGGUUAGAAAAGGAGACAGAGAAAAAGAAAGAGAAAGAUACACAUUCUCAUAUAAUACCCUAGAAUAUGAAUGUAUAUUUAUAUCAGAAUUUAGAGAUUUUCUCUUUAAGAUCAUAUGUGUACUUUUAACAAAACACUUUUCCAUUGAAGCUGCAAACAAAUUUUCAUUCAUUAAAAAAGCCGAAGAAAAAUAAACAAAUCAAGAUAACGUAAAAUUUGCAUAUGUUAUUGUUUUUAAUGUGAAAUGUGAAAUGUGAUUUAUGUUGUAUGUGUGUGUGUGUGUGUGUGUGUGGAUGUUGAUGUAGAUGUGUAUUGUGGUGUGUAUGUGUGUGUAUUUACAAUGUAAGGUGUUGGAUGUAGUAUGUGUGUGGUAUGAGUUGAUUUUUUGGUGAAGAUGAAAAAUGGAAGAGAUGUUUUCUUGCUUUUUCAAAUGAGAAAGAUAAAGAAAGGGAGAUGGAGAGAAAGAGCAGAAAGAGAGA